rnacentral:rRNA from 1 species
GAUGAACGCUGGCGGCGUGCCUAAUACAUGCAAGUCGAGCGAACAGACGAGGAGCUUGCUCCUCUGACGUUAGCGGCGGACGGGUGAGUAACACGUGGAUAACCUACCUAUAAGACUGGGAUAACUUCGGGAAACCGGAGCUAAUACCGGAUAAUAUAUUGAACCGCAUGGUUCAAUAGUGAAAGACGGUUUUGCUGUCACUUAUAGAUGGAUCCGCGCCGCAUUAGCUAGUUGGUAAGGUAACGGCUUACCAAGGCAACGAUGCGUAGCCGACCUGAGAGGGUGAUCGGCCACACUGGAACUGAGGCGCGGUCCAGACUCCUACGGGAGGCAGCAGUAGGGAAUCUUCCGCAAUGGGCGAAAGCCUGACGGAGCAACGCCGCGUGGGUGAUGAAGGUCUUCAGAUCGUAAAACUCUGUUAUUAGGGAAGAACAGAUGUGUAAGUAACUAUGCACGUCUUGACGGUACCUAAUCAGAAAGCCACGGCUAACUACGUG